rnacentral:rRNA from 1 species
UGGGGAAUAUUGCACAAUGGGCGCAAGCCUGAUGCAGCAACGCCGCGUGAGGGAUGACGGUCUUCGGGUUGUAAACCUCUUUUAGCGGGGAAGAAGCGAAAGUGACGGUACCUGCAGAAAAAGCACCGGCUAACUACGUGCUAGCAGCCGCGGUAAUACGUAGGGUGCAAGCGUUGUCCGGAAUUAUUGGGCGUAAAGAGCUCGUAGGCGGUCUGUCGCGUCUGCUGUGAAAUCCCGAGGCUCAACCUCGGGCCUGCAGUGGGUACGGGCAGACUAGAGUGCGGUAGGGGAGAAUGGAACUCCUGGUGUAGCGGUGGAAUGCGCAGAUAUCAGGAAGAACACCGAUGGCGAAGGCAGUUCUCUGGGCCGUAACUGACGCUGAGGAGCGAAAGCGUGGGGAGCGAACAGGAUUAGAUACCCUGGUAGUCCACGCCGUAAACGUUGGGCGCUAGAUGUGGGGACCAUUCCACGGUUUCCGUGUCGCAGCUAACGCAUUAAGCGCCCCGCCUGGGGAGUACGGCCGCAAGGCUAAAACUCAAAGG